CAGCUGGACUCCAUAUUUAAGCUGCUGGAGGAGAACAUCUGCACUUUUGUCAAGAACGAACUGAAGAAGUUCCAGCAGGUUCUGAGUCCAGAUUACCCAGAAUGCUUAGAGAGUCUGAGUGAUGAGGAUGAAGCGCAGAGGAGGAGCUCCGAGGCUUUUCUGCAGAUCACACUGAACUUCCUGAGGAGGCUGAAGCAGGAGGAGCUGGCUGAGCGUCUGCACCGCAGAAGACGGUCUGGAGUUCAGCAGCGGAAACUGAAACGUAACCUGCAGCAGAAGUUUGAGUGUGU